rnacentral:rRNA from 1 species
UGGGGAAUCUUGGACAAUGGGCGCAAGCCUGAUCCAGCCAUGCCGCGUGGAUGAUGAAGGCCUUAGGGUUGUAAAAUCCUUUCGUGGGGGACGAUAAUGACGGUACCCCAAGAAGAAGCUCCGGCUAACUACGUGCCAGCAGCCGCGGUAAUACGUAGGGACCAAGCGUUGUUCGGAUUUACUGGGCGUAAAGGGCGCGUAGGCGGCGUGGUAAGUCAUCUGUGAAAUCUCCGAGCUUAACUCGGAACGGUCAGAUGAUACUGCUGUGCUAGAGUACAGAAGGGGCAAUCGGAAUUCUUGGUGUAGCGGUGAAAUGCGUAGAUAUCAAGAGGAACACCUGAGGUGAAGACGGGUUGCUGGGCUGAUACUGACGCUGAGGCGCGAAAGCUAGGGUAGCAAACGGGAUUAGAUACCCAAGUAGUCCCUGAGCGGGCUGGCAAGGCGCAU